GGGAAAGCUAAGCCACAGGAGGAAAUGGCACUCUUGAAGCAGGUCGCCAGGGGCCUAAGCAGGCCGUCCAAGGGGUAGGGUGCAGGUAGGGUAGUGUGGCAGUCAGUCCUGGUCUGCGCUGGUGUCACUGGUCAGCAUCUGUGGACAGGGAAGGGCCAGCUGCUCCCUGAAGCACCUCCCACUCAGCCUCUCCUUCCUGGAGCUUCUCACCACUCUGAGAGUCCUAGACUUGCCUAAGAGGGGAAGGCAUACCCCUGGAACUAUUCCACCCCAUACUUAGAAGCUAGGUGCUUAGAAGCACCCAGCGCCCCUCUUUAGUGUAAUCUAAGCCCCUCAUCCUAUAUCUCCAACUCAGCAGUUCUCAAACCUGGUAGAGGAACAGAAUUUAUUGGGGAGCCUUUUUUUUUUUUUUGAGACAGAGCCUCA
rnacentral:lncRNA from 1 species